CAUGAUCAACAAACACAUGCAAGUCUUUCCGAAGAAUCAAGGGAGUCUGUCUACAUUGGCUUGUCCACUGAUUCAGAGGUUGAAAUUAUGGUGGCAUCACCUGUAAGAAGCUACAGUCCUGAUGUAUGUUUAACCAACCCUUUUAAGAACUUUCCCCAUGUAUGUAAAGUAUCAUGUCCUUUAUUAAUUUUAACCUUCCUUUUCACAGCAACAAAAAGACCUUGCAUCAGUUUUGACAGAAUUCAGACAAGACAAUUUAGACUUGACCACCACUGUCACCGUUGUGGCUCGCCGAAGGAAAAUAUUACAUAGUGCAUGUGUUGCACUUGAUAAAUCUUACUUUGACUGGCAUAAAAUGCCAAAUGUGGAAUUUGUUGGGAAGAUGGCAGACCACGACGAGAGUUUUUCAGGUUAAAAAUAAUUGACAUUCAUUUGUCAUUUUUUUUAUUACUCUGAAUGACUACACAUUUUAAGUUUUGAUGACAUGAUUGUUCUAACAAUUUUAAUAAUGUGUUAUUACAUGUAUACAAACACACUUACCUUGAGUAUUAAUUCAUGGAAUCAUCUAGAUACUGCCCAAAAAAUUAUUUAAAAAUUACCUGUGUUUUAAAAAGUAAUCUUGAUUAUCUCUCUUUUUUUUAAGACUUCUCAUGACAGAAGUGCAGGAAUCACUUGGUAUAUUUGAGGGAAGACCUGAGAAUCUGAUCUUUGCAUAUAAUCAACAAGCACUGUUGCAGAAUAAAUACUACACUGCUGGAAAACUCAUUGCAUGGUCCAUUGUGCACAAUGGACCUGGGAUCAGAUGUCUUAACCAGCAUCCUUUCAAACUAAUGUGUGACCAGAAAGCAGAUCUAAGCACAUUUAACACUGAAACAUUCCAAGAUGCAGAUUUGCAACACAGACUGAAAAAGGGUGGCCAGCAUGAUACAGCAGUUUGUUGCUGGGAUGGAUGCAUUUGGACAGCUGUGGCAAACAGUACAGAGGAACUGUAUUAACUUUAUGCCAAUGUUCACAUACACACAUGAAAAACUCUCCCGAAGUGAUAUUCGGGACAUGUUCAACAUCAGAUGGAGUCCACAAGGCUGCAAUAAUAGAGAGAGGGAGGAGGACACCAUCUUUCUCUGGGAGUGUUGGCUGAUGUCUAUUGAAAAUAAAGAGCUAGACAUUACCUUUGAAGAAAUUCUGAUCUUCGCAACGGGAGCUGAUUCUGUACUCCCUCUCGGUUUUCCACGAGAGUGUGAGAUCCAGUUCUAUGAUCAAGAGCCAGGAAGCCAGCAGAUUCCUUACUCCUCAACCUGUGCCCUUGUUCUGUAUUUGCCCAGAGGAAAAUAUGUGAAGAAUGGGCUAUGUGAAGAAAUCGAGAACCUUUUAUUUCUACCAGCCAGUGAUGAUUCUGAAAGAACAUACCUGGAAUCUGUUGCUACAGUAACGAACGCAAAUUCAUGCUCAUGCGUGAUUUUAUUUCAGUGCAGUUGUUAA
ensembl:lncRNA